UACGUAGGGACCAAGCGUUGUUCGGAUUUACUGGGCGUAAAGAGCGCGCAGGCGGUCGAAUAAGUCGAAUGUGAAAGCCCCCGGCUUAACUGGGGAGGGUCAUUCGAUACUGCUCGACUUGAAGGCAGGAGAGGGUAGUGGAAUUCCCGGUGUAGUGGUGAAAUGCGUAGAUAUCGGGAGGAACACCAGUGGCGAAGGCGACUACCUGGCCUGUUCUUGACGCUGAGGCGCGAAAGCUGGGGGAGCAAACGGG
rnacentral:rRNA from 1 species